rfam:Myotis brandtii contig312728, whole genome shotgun sequence.
GGCGGUUCUCAGGUGAUGCACCCUGGAAUCAGGCUCCCUCCUCUCUGGUUCUGGGUGUGUCACCCGAGAACCGCA